GGCCGUUUAGCUUAGCAGUUAAAGCGCCGGACUUUUAUACCACCGUCCCAAAUUCACCGCAGCAGUGUUUCUUGAGACAGAAUAAAAGAAAAAUCCGGAGAUCACGGGUUCAACUCCCGUAACGGCCG